UAAGGAAUAUUGGUCAAUGGACGCAAGUCUGAACCAGCCAUGCCGCGUGAAGGAUGAAGGUCCUCUGGAUUGUAAACUUCUUUUAUCUGGGACGAAAACGGGAUUUUUAUCUCAAUUGACGGUACCAGAGGAAUAAGCACCGGCUAACUCCGUGCCAGCAGCCGCGGUAAUACGGAGGGUGCGAGCGUUAUCCGGAUUUACUGGGUUUAAAGGGUGCGUAGGUGGGCUUAUAAGUCAGUGGUGAAAUCUCCGAGCUUAACUUGGAAACGGCCGUUGAGACGAAAGGUCUUGAAUUAUCUGGAGGUAAGCGGAAUAUGUCAUGUAGCGGUGAAAUGCUUAGAUAUGACAUAGAACACCCAUUGCGAAGGCAGCUUACUACAUAUAAAUUGACGCUGAGGCACGAAAGCGUGGGGAUCAAACA
rnacentral:rRNA from 1 species